UUUUUUUAAUAUUUUUAAGCGCUUUUUCAAUGCUUUUUUGUCGUUUUCGAGUGCUUUUUUGUAGAUUUCAAGAGUAUAUAAAUCCGGCCUUUAUAAUUAUAACUUUUCAUAGAUAGUUUGGCGAUCUCUUUUGUUUCCUCGUUUUCUCUUCUACGCCAGAUAUUAAGUGUGUUAUCGAUUGCUGGUCCGCGUGUUCUCGCUGCUACAAAUUGUUCUGUACUUUGUUAUCAAAGCUUCUCAGUUUCUAUUCAACCGGCACUGUUACAGACCAUACUUCACGAACUUCAAGAACAUUGUAUAAUAUUUAUAUGGUUAGUUUACAAUAUUAUUUUAUAUUAUUUAUUAUGUCAAUAAUAACACGGUAUUAUUGUUAUCAUACUAUCGCU